GACCCCUUUCCCUUCUUCUAGCUCUUCUGAGAACCCUGGAGGGUAUACACAUUCCAACUGGGAGAUCCAUUUGAUUUCUGCUUCAAGUUAAGAUGUUUUGUAUCUUUACCAUAAAGUGAUUGAUGAUUAGAAGCUGAGGAGAAUUGAUAAUACAAGAAGAUAAUGCAUUUCGAAGAGGUUUUGGAAACAAACAGCAACAGAAAAAGGUAAGAAGAGGCCAGCUGCCAUGGCUCACACCUGAAAUCCUAGCACUUUGAGAGGCCGAGGCAGUUGAAUCAUCCGAGGUCAGGAAUUCGAGAUCAGCCCGGCUAAUACGGUGAAACUCCGUCUCUGCUAAAACUACAAAAAAAUUAACCGGACAUAGUGCUGCAUGCCUGUAGUCCCAGCUACUCGGGAGGCUGAGGCAAGAGAAUCGCUUGAACCUGGGAGGCAGAGGUUGCAGUGAGCUAAGAUUGCUCCACUGCACUCCAGCCUGGGCGACAGAGUGAGACUCCAUCUCAAAAAAAAAGUAAGAAGAAUUAUCAAUUAUAGAAAGAACCAAUAAUGAUGAUAAAAGUACCAAUAAUAAUUACCAUUGUAUUGCAUUAAACACUGUUUUAGGUGUUUGCCUAUGU